GCAAGUGUAACUCAAACAUCCGAAUUCCAUCCGGAAAACAAGACAGGUUUCUCCGACCUGACCUCCUCAACUCCGUAUUCUCAAACUCUCUCCCUUUGUCUUUCUGUCGUUCUUCGGCCAUGGAGCUCUCUCUGUCUUCCGCAACCUCGAGAGCUCACACGUAUAAUUCCUCACCAGAGCUGUUUCUGCUUGAAAAAGCAAAAUUUCCGACAUGGGAUUGUUAUUUUCCCUCUCCUUCGCGAGCUAGGAGAAUAGCGAAGCCUUUAUUUGCUCAACCUGGAGCCCUCUCUGCCAAGCAUAACCCUGUCAAGGUUGUAUGUUGUCUAAAGAGAGAAGCUACUGUGGUAGAGGGAAGGUCUAUGCAUGAAAUAUAUGAUGCUUUGGCCGCACGUCUUGUUCCCACAGCCGCAGCAAUAGGGAAUCCAAAGUUGAAGUAUAUUGUGGGUUUGGCUGGUUCUCCUGGAUCUGGGAAAAGCACUACUGCAUCUGAAGUUGUGCGACGUGUAAACAAGUUAUGGCCCCAGAAAGCUUCUGCAUUGGAUUCUCAAGUUACUCCUCCAGAAGUGGCUGCAGUUCUCCCCAUGGAUGGUUUCCAUCUUUAUCUUUCUCAGCUGGAUGCAAUGGAGAAUCCCGAGGAAGCUCAUGCAAGAAGAGGAGCUCCAUGGACCUUUAACCCUAAGCAACUACUCGAGUCUCUCAAGACUCUGAGAAGUGAGGGAUCAGUUUAUGCACCGUCAUUUGACCAUGGUGUUGGAGAUCCGGUAGAAGAUGAUAUUUUUGUGACCCUUCAGCAUAAAGUGGUCAUAGUAGAAGGAAAUUAUUUAUUGUUGGAUGAUGGGAUUUGGAAAGAAGUAUCAUCUAUGUUUGACGAGAAAUGGUUUCUUGAAGUUGAUAUUGACAAAGCUAUGGAACGAGUUCGAAACAGACAUAUCUUAACGGCAGGGAAGCCCCCAGAUGUUGCCAAAUGGCGGGUUGAGUACAAUGACCGGCCUAAUGCGGUGACAGUAAACAAAUCAAAGAGGAAUGCUGAUUUGAUAAUCAAGUCAAUCGACUACUGAAGCUUGAAGGUGAUCCCGUCCUGCUGGUUGCAUUGAACGAAGCUUUCGUUCUAUCUGUUUUGCAUCCCAUGUAUGCAAAUUGAAGGCCUAUCUUCAUUUUCCUUGGAAGAUAUGAACCGGGAAGUAAUUUAUGCACUCCAAAAUUUGCUUUCACUUAUGAGGGAGUUCGUGAAGGAGAUUUGGAUCUGGUGUUUACUUUCUUGGUUCGGAAUUUGGCUUCAUCUGAGGAUGUGACGGCGAUGGCAAUGUGGUCUUUGCUACUGGAGAUUAGGAUUCUUUAUUUUCUGUUUUCUAGUGCCUUCAGGCCUAAGCUUGCUUAUGUAGGCCUCCUGUUAUAUCUUGGGUUGUUGCUCUCAUUUUGCUUGGACCUUUACUUUCCUUGUAGUUGUUUACUCAAUCCUUUUUGGGCCUUGUACUAAUUCUUAUGUUAAUAAAAGUGGACUUUUUGAUAAAAAAAAAAAAAAAAUACACACUAAGGUCACUUUUACUUGU